GUGAACGCUGGCGGUAGGCCUAACACAUACAAGUCGAACGGCAGCACAGUAAGAGCUUGCUCUUACGGGUGGCGAGUGGCGGACGGGUGAGGAAUACAUCGGAAUCUACUUUUUCGUGGGGGAUAACGUAGGGAAACUUACGCUAAUACCGCAUACGACCUACGGGUGAAAGCAGGGGAUCUUCGGACCUUGCGCGAUUGAAUGAGCCGAUGUCGGAUUAGCUAGUUGGCGGGGUAAAGGCCCACCAAGGCGACGAUCCGUAGCUGGUCUGAGAGGAUGAUCAGCCACACUGGAACUGAGACACGGUCCAGACUCCUACGGGAGGCAGCAGUGGGGAAUAUUGGACAAUGGGCGCAAGCCUGAUCCAGCCAUACCGCGUGGGUGAAGAAGGCCUUCGGGUUGUAAAGCCCUUUUGUUGGGAAAGAAAAGCAGCAGGUUAAUACCCCGCUGUUCUGACGGUACCCAAAGAAUAAGCACCGGCUAACUUCGU
rnacentral:rRNA from 1 species